UGGGGAAUAUUGGACAAUGGGCGAAAGCCUGAUCCAGCCAUGCCGCGUGUGUGAAGAAGGUCUUCGGAUUGUAAAGCACUUUAAGUUGGGAGGAAGGGCAGUAAGCGAAUACCUUGCUGUUUUGACGUUACCGACAGAAUAAGCACCGGCUAACUCUGUGCCAGCAGCCGCGGUAAUACAGAGGGUGCAAGCGUUAAUCGGAAUUACUGGGCGUAAAGCGCGCGUAGGUGGUUCGUUAAGUUGAAUGUGAAAGCCCCGGGCUCAACCUGGGAACUGCAACCAAUACUGGCGAGCUAGGGUAGGGCAGAGGGUGGUGGAAUUUCCUGUGUAACGGUGAAAUGCGUAGAUAUAGGAAGGAACACCAGUGGCGAAGGCGACCACCUGGGCUCAUACUGACACUGAGGUGCGAAAGCGUGGGGAGCAAACAGG
rnacentral:rRNA from 1 species